AAGUAACCGAUAGAUAGCAAGGACAGCAAUUAUUUUUUUUAGUAUAGUAUGAAAACGGGAAAUUAUUUAAUGGGUAUCACAACUUUUACGUCGACUGUCUUCUAACAAGCGCCGUAAGAAAAAGCACUCAGAACAGUAGUAACUGCAUUAUAUGAACACAAAUUUUUUAAAAAUGUCAAAGUUCAUUAUUUCUUUAAUAUUUAUAGCUGCAUUGAUUGCUAUUGUAAACUGUAAAUACUAUGAGCUUGUUGAAGAAGGUUGUCCAGGUUGUAAAAGUCAUGGAGAUGAGUGUGACCCGUCGAAACCCAAAGAUUGCUGCAUACUAUAUUACUGCCGACUAUUCGGUGAUCUGCCUUUAUGUGUUAUAGAUGAUAGAAUGUUUCAAUAACGUUGAUAGAACGCAUGGUUGGUAAAGAGCACUACAUAAAGAAAAAUAAAAAAUAAAAGUAAAAACUUAUCCGCUUAUUCUAUAAAUUGUAGAAUCAUAUGUAAAAUUAUUUUGAGUUGUAGAGCUUAAAAAAAAUGCAUUCAAUAAAAUUAAGUACUUGACUUACUAAAAAUUCUAUUUUUCACAAUAAAAAAUUAUUUGUCUAGGUGUUAAAAUUUAA